UAGUCCACGCCGUAAACGAUGUCAACUAGCCGUUUGGGACACUAAGUCCUUGGUGGCGCAGCUAACGCGAUAAGUUGACCGCCUGGGGAGUACGCCGGCAACGGUAAAACUCAAAGGAAUUGACGGGGGCCCGCACAAGCGGUGGAGCAUGUGGUUUAAUUCGAUGCAACGCGAAAAACCUUACCUACCCUUGACAUCCUCAGAACUUGUUAGAGAUAACUUGGUGCCUUCGGGAACUGAGUGACAGGUGCUGCAUGGCUGUCGUCAGCUCGUGUCGUGAGGCGUCAGGUUAAGUCCUAUAACGAGCGCAACCCCUGUUGUUAGUUGCCAGCGAGUAAUGUCGGGAACUCUAGCAAGACUGCCGGUGCAAACCGCGAGGGAAGGUGGGGAUGACGUCAAAUCAUCACGGCCCUUACGUCCUGGGGCCACACACGUGCUACAAUGGUAGGUACAGAGAGCAGCCACGUCGCGAGGCGGAGCGAAUCUAA
rnacentral:rRNA from 1 species